UACGUAGGGUGCAGGCGUUAAUCGGAAUUACUGGGCGUAAAGCGUGCGCAGGCGGUCUGCUAAGACAGGUGUGAAAGCCCCGAGCUUAACUUGGGAAUUGCGCUUGUGACUGGCGUGCUGGAGUGUGGCAGAGGGAGGUGGAAUUCCACGUGUAGCAGUGAAAUGCGUAGAGAUGUGGAGGAACACCGAUGGCGAAGGCAGCCUCCUGGGCCAGCACUGACGCUCAUGCACGAAAGCGUGGGGAGCAAACAGG
rnacentral:rRNA from 1 species